GUGGGGAAUUUUGGACAAUGGGCGCAAGCCUGAUCCAGCAAUGCCGCGUGCAGGAAGAAGGCCUUCGGGUUGUAAACUGCUUUUGUACGGAACGAAACGGUCCUGGUUAAUACCUGGGGCUAAUGACGGUACCGUAAGAAUAAGCACCGGCUAACUACGUGCCAGCAGCCGCGGUAAUACGUAGGGUGCGAGCGUUAAUCGGAAUUACUGGGCGUAAAGCGUGCGCAGGCGGUGCUGUAAGACAGGCGUGAAAUCCCCGGGCUCAACCUGGGAAUUGCGCUUGUGACUGCAAGGCUGGAGUGCGGCAGAGGGGGAUGGAAUUCCGCGUGUAGCAGUGAAAUGCGUAGAUAUGCGGAGGAACACCGAUGGCGAAGGCAAUCCCCUGGGCCUGCACUGACGCUCAUGCACGAAAGCGUGGGGAGCAAACAGGAUUAGAAACCCCAGUAGUCC
rnacentral:rRNA from 1 species